rnacentral:rRNA from 1 species
UUUUUUUUUCUAAGUUAGCCUGCAUGUCUAAGUAUAAGCAAUUAUACCGUGAAACUGCGAAUGGCUCAUUAAAUCAGUUAUCGUUUAUUUGAUAGUACCUUACCACUUGGAUAACCGUGGUAAUUCUAGAGCUAAUACAUGCUAAAAACCCCGACUUCGGAAGGGGUGUGUGUUAUUAGAUAAAAAACCAAUGCCCUUCGGGGCUCUUUGGUGAUUCAUGAUAACCUAACGGAUCGCAUGGCCUUGCGCCGGCGACGGUUCAUUCAAAUUUCUGCCCUAUCAACUUUCGAUGGUAAGGUAUUGGCUUACCAUGGUUUCAACGGGUAACGGGGAAUUAGGGUUCGAUUCCGGAGAGGGAGCCUGAGAAACGGCUACCACAUCCAAGGAAGGCAGCAGGCGCGCAAAUUACCCAAUCCCGACACGGGGAGGUAGUGACAAUAAAUACUGAUAUAGGGCUCUUUUGGGUCUUGUAAUUGGAAUGAGUACAAUUUAAACCCCUUAACGAGGAACAAUUGGAGGGCAAGUCUGGUGCCAGCAGCCGCGGUAAUUCCAGCUCCAAUAGCGUAUAUUAAAGUUGUUGCAGUUAAAAAGCUCGUAGUUGAAACUUGGGUCUGGCUAGCGGGUCCGCCUCACCGCGUGCACUUGUCCGGCUGGACCUUUCCUUCUGGAGAACCUCAUGCCCUUCACUGGGUGUGUUGGGGAACCAGGACUUUUACUUUGAAAAAAUUAGAGUGUUCAAAGCAGGCCUUUGCUCGAAUACGUUAGCAUGGAAUAAUAGAAUAGGACGUGCGGUCCUAUUUUGUUGGUUUCUAGGAUCGCCGUAAUGAUUAAUAGGGAUAGUCGGGGGCAUCAGUAUUCAAUUGUCAGAGGUGAAAUUCUUGGAUUUAUUGAAGACUAACUACUGCGAAAGCAUUUGCCAAGGAUGUUUUCAUUAAUCAGUGAACGAAAGUUAGGGGAUCGAAGACGAUCAGAUACCGUCGUAGUCUUAACCGUAAACUAUGCCGACUAGGGAUCGGGCGAUGUUUCUAUCUUGACUCGCUCGGCACCUUACGAGAAAUCAAAGUUUUUGGGUUCUGGGGGGAAUAUGGCCCA